rnacentral:lncRNA from 1 species
GGCCAUACCCAUGGCAUACGGAAGUUCUUAGGCCAGGGGUUGAAUUGCAGCUACAGCGUCCAAUCUAUACAACAGCCACAGCAAAGCCAGAUCCAAGCCGCAUCUGCAACCUACACCACAGCUCACAGCAACGCCAGAUCCUUAACCCAAGGAGUAAGGCCAGGGGUUGAACCUGCAUCCUCAUGGACACUAGUUGGGUUCAUUACCACUGUGCCACAACAGGAAUUCCCUAUGUAUCAUUUUUUAAGUAUACUAAGGGUAGAAAUGCUGAAUUACAGGAUAUGCAAAUUAUUUUGCCUCAGUAGAUAUUGACAAUUUUCCAAAGUGGUUGUACCAAUUGAUAUUCACUCCAGCAAUAAACCCAACUUCAAUUUGCUUUACACUGUCACUGAUAUUUGGAAUUUUUUUUCAUUUCAGUUAGUCUAGUGAACAUAGAAUAGCAUUACACCGUCAUUUCAAUAUGCAUUUCCCCAAUGACUAGCGAAAUUUUAAACAAUCUAUUUAUUGACUAUAUGGAUAUUCUCUAUUAUAAGGUCCUGAUUUAAACUCUCAUUAAUUUUUAAUAGAUGUUUGCUUUUAUGGGGGUUUUUUAGGGUCACACCCAUGGCAUAUGGAGAUUCCCAGGCUAGGGGUUCAGUAGGAGCUGUAGCUGCCAGCAUAUGCCACAGCCACAGCAACGUAGGAUCCAAGCUUCAUCUGCGACCUACCUCAUGGCUCACAGCACGCUGGAUCCAUAACCCACUGAGCAAGGCCAGGGAUCAAACCUUCGUCCACGUGGAUGCUAGUCAGAUUCCUUAACCACUGAGCCACAAUGCGAACUCCUGCUUUUAUGUUAUUUUUAACAUGAGAUUUCUUUAUACUUGGGAUAUAUAUGUGUGUGAUCACAUAUAUACAUACUAUAAGAGGAAAUGGUCUCCUGUUUUUCUUCUAAAAGUUUUAUUGUUUAUACCUCAUGUUUAUUUAUGCUCCAUCUGAAAUUGACUUUUGUGUAACAGAAGUAAAAGCAGGGAGUUCUCUUGUGACACACCGAAUUAAGGAUCUGGUAUUGUCACUACAGUGGCUUGGUCCAUGAACUUCCACAUGCCAUGGGCAUAGCCAAAAAAAUAAAAAUAAACCCACACAUUCUUAACAUGAAAGGAUACUUAACAAGGAAAAUAUUUGUAUUUCUCUAUCCUUUUUUUUUUUUUUUGUCUUUUUUUUUGUCUUUUUGCCUUUUCUAGGGCUGCUCUCACAGCAUAUGGAGCCUACGCCAGAGCCACAGCAAAGCGGGAUCCAAGCCGCGUCUGCAACCUACACCACAGCUCAUUGCAAUAUACCACAGCUCACUGCAAUGCCGGAUCCUCAACCCACUGAUCAAGGCCAGGGAUCAAACCCACAACCUCAUGGUUCCUAGUCGGAUUUGUUAACCACUGCGCCACGACGGGAACUCCAUCAGGAACAGGGGGAGGAUGCUCAAUAUCUCUAUCAUUAUUCACCAUUGUAUAUUCAGUAUUAGCAACUACAACUAAAUGAAAUAAAGAAUUAGUAAGGAAGAGGCAAAACUAUUUCCACUUGCAAAUGAUGUGAUACCUGGACAAUGCUAAAGAAUCAAUAAAAACAGUACCUCCAACACCACAAUUUAGUAAGGCAAAAGAAUAUGAAAUUAAUAUUCAGGAAUCAGCACCUUCCAUAAGGCAAUGCAUUAUAAGCACGUAACAUAAUCACACUGAAGAGGAUGGGAAAGAACAGUAACCUAAGAAACUGUAGAAAACAGUGUUGUGAUUGCAUAAAUUUAAGGCAAAAGACAAAAAGAACUGCACACAGAUAUUACACUCCAGUUAAAGAUUUGUUUUUCACAGAGGUAUAAAAUGGCAAUUGUGAAACUACAGACAUUUCCAGAUUGAGUAAAUAAUUAAAUAUGCUGAUGAUAAUGAAAGUGAGGUUUCUCAGAGUUACUAGAAACAGAAGGAAGUUGGCUGGAAUGAAACCCUGUGAUGACGGACUGGAAUCAGAUGUAUCAAUAUAAACUCAGGAGUCUGUAUGUGUGUGUUUGUGUGUUUACACAAAUAGAUAUCAAACAGAUAUAGAUCUGUGUGCGCACGCAUGCAUGUUUGUAUAUAUACACCUAUGUCACAGCUCUGUAAGGUAAGAAAGAAAUUAGAAGCAACGGUAAAAGUUCAAUGAACAUACUUAGCACCCAGAUCUUGGUUUCUAAAUACUUUUCUUCAAUAAAAUGAACCAAAAUCCAAGGAAGAAUGGUUGAUCUCAGGAAUGAGGCAGAAAUGAGCAUGGUGAGGGAAUGGGGCAAGAUGAGCCUUAGGGAUCCUGUGGGCCCAGAAAGUGAGCAAGUGCUGAAAUUCCAAUGGUGUGUGACAAGGACAGAGGGGCCAGCCUGCGGGUGCGCCCAAUGGUCAGAUAUUAAUGAAUUUUAUCUCAUGGAAUAAUACAAAUAUCCUUGAGUUCAUACGACAAAUAAUAAAUACAGAAGGAAUGAGGUAAAUAGAAAAUCACCAUCUGGCAACCACCACAGUAAUAGCUGCUGCAGAGGCAUGAAUCAGUGAUGGAGGCUAAAAUUAAUGUAAAUUUAUAGUGGAGGAAACUGACAGACUCCACCUCAAUCAAGUGAUCAAAAUUAUCACCAGGAAGGAGUCAUGUCAACAUAGUUUACCUCCUUAUAUGAUUCACUGAGGUCACAUCAUCACUUCUGGGGUAUUUCUUGCCAAAAUGAGUAAUCUGAAUUUAAUCAUGAAGGAACUGAGACAAACCCAAAUUAAGGGGGGGUCAUCCCCAAAUUAACUGGCCAGAACUGUUCUUUGAAGAGAGACAAAGUCAAAAGAUGUUUCUCAAGUGAAAGGAGAAUAAAGAGACAUGACAACUAAAUAAAAUGUGUCAUGCUGGAUUUGAUUCUGCACUGGAAAAAGACACGGGUGGCACAAUCAGCAAAAAGUAAAGAAGGUUUACAGAUAAUAUUUGCUAUAAAAAUCAGUACUAAUUUCAUGAUUUUAUAAUUGUACUACAGUUACAUAACAUGCCAAAAUUUAGUGAAGCUAGGCGAGGAGUUUAUGAGAAUUCUUGUUAAUAUUUUUGCAAACGUUUUCUAACUCAACUUAGUUUAAAAUGAAAGUCUGAAAACAUAUCAAAAGUACCUGUAAAAUGAAUAGCAGAUUAAAUUCAAAGGUAAUAGAUAAAAGAAAUUAAUAAAAAUAGUAUGAACAUAAUUGAGUUGAAGAAAUAUAUAAUCGGAAAACCAAUUAUGCCAAGUUGUUUCUAGAAACUCUUCACAGGACAGUAAGAAAAAUGAUAUUUAGCUAUACCACAUGCAAAUGAGGGCAUGACUACAAUAAAUAAAAGGGUAUUAGAAAUAGCUGUAUGCUAGUAACUUACAAAACAGAAGAGUCAAAAACCCACCAUCUGUGAUAGCCACCUAAUUUAUGACAAAGAUGCCAUUUCAGUAAGUAGGGAAAACAACAAAUAGAGAUGUUUCAAGAAACGGUGCUUGAAAAACUGAAGAUGCACAUGGAAAAAAAUAAGUCUUGACCCUAUCCUCAAACUGUACCCAAAACAUAAAAAUAAUUCCAAAUGGACUGUAGAUUAAUAUGAAAGGUAAAACAAGAUAGCUUCUAGGAAAAUGGCUAAAAUUACAAUAACCAAUACCAGGUGUUAGCAAAGAUAUAGAAGUAGAAUUCAAACGUGACUGGUCCAAGCAUCAAUUGGUACAAUCAUUUGAAAAGAUUGUGUGGUUUGCAGUAUAAGGAAUAACUGGCCAAUGGGACCUUCCGCAUAGCACAGGGAACUCUACCCAAUAUUCUGUGAUAAUCUAUAAGGGAAAAGAAUCUGAGAAAGAAUGGAUGUCUAUACGUGCAUAACUGAAUCACUUUGUUG